rnacentral:rRNA from 1 species
AGAGUGAACGCUGGCGGUAGGCCUAACACAUGCAAGUCGAACGGCAGCACAGUAGGAGCUUGCUCUUACGGGUGGCGAGUGGCGGACGGGUGAGGAAUACAUCGGAAUCUACCUUUUGGUGGGGGAUAAACGUAGGGAAACUUACGCUAAUACCGCAUACGCCCUUCGGGGGAAAGCCGGGGACCAGCAAUGGCCUGGCGCUGAUAGAUGAGCCGAUGUCGGAUUAGCUAGUUGGUGAGGUAAAUGGCUCACCAAGGCGACGAUCCGUAGCUGGUCUGAGAGGAUGAUCAGCCACACUGGAACUGAGACACGGUCCAGACUCCUAACGGGAGGCAGCAGUGGGGGAAAUAUUGGAC